AUUGAACGCUGGCGGCAGGCCUAACACAUGCAAGUCGAGCGGAUGAAGAGGGCUUGCUCUCUGAUUCAGCGGCGGACGGGUGAGUAAUGCCUAGGAAUCUGCCUGGUAGUGGGGGACAACGUUUCGAAAGGAACGCUAAUACCGCAUACGUCCUACGGGAGAAAGUGGGGGAUCUUCGGACCUCACGCUAUCAGAUGAGCCUAGGUACGAUUAGCUAGUUGGUGAGGUAAAGGCUCACCAAGGCGACGAUCGUUAACUGGUCUGAGAGGAUGAUCAGUCACACUGGAACUGAGACACGGUCCAGACUCCUACGGGAGGCAGCAGUGGGGAAUAUUGGACAAUGGGCGAAAGCCUGAUCCAGCCAUGCCGCGUGUGUGAAGAAGGUCUUCGGAUUGUAAAGCACUUUAAGUUGGGAGGAAGGGCAGUAAGUUAAUACCUUGCUGUUUUGACGUUACCGACAGAAUAAGCACCGGCUAACUCUGUGCCAGCCGCCGCAGUAACAC
rnacentral:rRNA from 1 species